rnacentral:rRNA from 1 species
AGCAGCCGCGGUAAUUCCAGCUCCAAUAGCGUAUAUUAAAGUUGUUGUAGUUAAAAAGCUCGUAGUUGAAUUUCGGGGUUAGCAGGUCGGUCGUGCCAUCGGUAUGAACUGGUCUCGCUGAUCCCUCCCUCUUGACGAACUGUGAUGCCAUUAAUUUGGUGUCGCAGGGAAUCAGGACUGUUACUUUGAAAAAAUUAGAGUGUUUAAAGCAGGCUCACGCUUGAAUACAUUAGCAUGGAAUAAUGAAAUAGGACGUUUGAUCCUAUUUUGUUGGCUUCUAGGAUUGACGUAAUGAUUAAUAGGGAUAGUUGGGGGCAUUAGUAUUCAAUUGUCAGAGGUGAAAUUCUUGGAUUUAUUGAAGACUAACUACUGCGAAAGCAUUUGCCAAGGAUGUUUUCAUUAAUCAAGAACGAAAGUUAGGGGAUCGAAGACGAUCAGAUACCGUCGUAG